rnacentral:rRNA from 1 species
AUUGAACGCUGGCGGCAGGCCUAACACAUGCAAGUCGAGCGGAUGAAGGGAGCUUGCUCCUGGAUUCAGCGGCGGACGGGUGAGUAAUGCCUAGGAAUCUGCCUGGUAGCGGGGGAUAACGUCCGGAAACGGGCGCUAAUACCGCAUACGUCCUGAGGGAGAAAGUGGGGGAUCUUCGGACCUCACGCUAUCAGAUGAGCCGAGGUCGGAUUAGCUAGUUGGUGGGGUAAAGGCCUACCAAGGCGACGAUCCGUAACUGGUCUGAGAGGAUGAUCAGUCACACUGGAACUGAGACACGGUCCAGACUCCUACGGGAGGCAGCAGUGGGGAAUAUUGGACAAUGGGCGAAAGCCUGAUCCAGCCAUGCCGCGUGUGUGAAGAAGGUCUUCGGAUUGUAAAGCACUUUAAGUUGGGAGGAAGGGCAGUAAGUUAAUACCUUGCUGUUUUGACGUUACCAACAGAAUAAGCACCGGCUAACUUCGUG